rnacentral:rRNA from 1 species
UACGAAGGGUGCAAGCGUUACUCGGAAUUACUGGGCGUAAAGCGUGCGUAGGUGGUUGUUUAAGUCUGUCGUGAAAGCCCUGGGCUCAACCUGGGAAUUGCGAUGGAUACUGGGCGACUAGAGUGUGGUAGAGGACAGUGGAAUUUCCGGUGUAGCAGUGAAAUGCGUAGAGAUCGGAAGGAACAUCUGUGGCGAAGGCGACUGUCUGGGCCAACACUGACACUGAGGCACGAAAGCGUGGGGAGCAAACAGGGA